rnacentral:rRNA from 1 species
UACAGAGGUCCCAAGCGUUGUUCGGAUUCACUGGGCGUAAAGGGUGCGUAGGCGGUCGGGUAAGUCUGAUGUGAAAUCUCCAAGCCUAACUUGGAAACUGCAUUGGAUACUAUCCGGCUAGAGGAAUGGAGGGGAGACUGGAAUACUUGGUGUAGCAGUGAAAUGCGUAGAUAUCAAGUGGAACACCAGUGGCGAAGGCGAGUCUCUGGACAUUUCCUGACGCUGAGGCACGAAGGCCAGGGGAGCAAACGGG